CCUACGGGGGGCUGCAGUGGGGAAUAUUGGACAAUGGGCGAAAGCCUGAUCCAGCCAUGCCGCGUGUGUGAAGAAGGCCUUCGGGUUGUAAAGCACUUUCAGUGGGGAAGAAAGCCUUGGGGCUAAUACCCUCGAGGAAGGACAUCACCCACAGAAGAAGCACCGGCUAACUCCGUGCCAGCAGCCGCGGUAAUACGGAGGGUGCGAGCGUUAAUCGGAAUUACUGGGCGUAAAGCGCGCGUAGGCGGUCUGAUAAGCCGGUUGUGAAAGCCCCGGGCUCAACCUGGGAACGGCAUCCGGAACUGUCAGGCUAGAGUGCAGGAGAGGAAGGUAGAAGUCCCGGUGUAGCGGUGAAAUGCGUAGAGAUCGGGAGGAAUACCAGUGGCGAAGGCGGCCUUCUGGACUGACACUGACGCUGAGGUGCGAAAGCGUGGGUAGCAAACAGGAUUAGAUACCCUGGUAGUC
rnacentral:rRNA from 1 species